rnacentral:rRNA from 1 species
UGCAGUCGAGGGGCAGCACGGUGUAGCAAUACACGGGUGGCGACCGGCGCACGGGUGAGUAACGCGUAUGCAACCUGCCUACUACAAGGGGAUAACCCGUUGAAAGACGGACUAAUACCCUAUAACACAGGGGAUCCGCAUGGAUAUAUUUGUUAAAGAUUUAUCGGUAGUAGAUGGGCAUGCGUUCCAUUAGCUUGUUGGUGAGGUAACGGCUCACCAAGGCAACGAUGGAUAGGGGAACUGAGAGGUUGAUCCCCCACACUGGAACUGAGACACGGUCCAGACUCCUACGGGAGGCAGCAGUGAGGAAUAUUGGUCAAUGGACGAGAGUCUGAACCAGCCAAGUCGCGUGAAGGAAGACGGCCCUACGGGUUGUAAACUUCUUUUGUAAGGGAAUAAAUAGUCUUACGCGCUAAGACGUUGCAGGUACCUUACGAAUAAGGAUCGGCUAACUCCGUGCCAGCAGCCGCGGUAAUACGGAGGAUCCGAGCGUUAUCCGGAUUUAUUGGGUUUAAAGGGUGCGCAGGCGGCAUGUUAAGUCGGCGGUGAAAUUUUGCAGCUCAACUGUAAAAGAGCCUUCGAAACUGGCAAGCUUGAGUGUGGAUGAAGUAGGCGGAAUUUGUGGUGUAGCGGUGAAAUGCAUAGAUAUCACAAAGAACACCGAUUGCGCAGGCAGCUUACUAAACCAUAACUGACGCUCAUGCACGAAGGCGUGGGGAUCAAACAGGAUUAGAUACCCUGGUAGUCCACGCAGUAAACGAUGAUUACUGGCUGUUUGCGAUACAAUGUAAGCGGCUGAGCGAAAGCGNUAAGUA